rnacentral:rRNA from 1 species
CAGGACGAACGCUGGCGGCGUGCCUAACACAUGCAAGUCGAACGGAGCACUUCGGUGCUUAGUGGCGAACGGGUGAGUAACGCGUGAGAAACCUGCCUUUCAGUGGGGGACAACAGUUGGAAACGACUGCUAAUACCGCAUAAUGUUAUUUGGGGGCAUCCCUGAAUAACCAAAGCUUUAUGUGCUGAAAGAUGGUCUCGCGUCUGAUUAGCUAGAUGGCGGGGUAACGGCCCACCAAGGCGACGAUCAGUAGCCGGCCUGAGAGGGCGACCGGCCACAUUGGGACUGAGACACGGCCCAGACUCCUACGGGAGGCAGCAGUGGGGAAUAUUGCACAAUGGAGGAAACUCUGAUGCAGCGACGCCGCGUGAGCGAAGAAGUAUUUCGGUAUGUAAAGCUCUAUCAGCAGGGAAGAUAAUGACGGUACCUGACUAAGAAGCUCCGGCUAAAUACGUG